rnacentral:rRNA from 1 species
CGAACGGGUGAGUAACGCGUGAGGAACCUGCCUCAAAGAGGGGGACAACAGUUGGAAACGACUGCUAAUACCGCAUAAGCCCACGGCUCGGCAUCGAGCAGAGGGAAAAGGAGCAAUCCGCUUUGAGAUGGCCUCGCGUCCGAUUAGCUAGUUGGUGAGGUAAUGGCCCACCAAGGCGACGAUCGGUAGCCGGACUGAGAGGUUGAACGGCCACAUUGGGACUGAGACACGGUCCAG